rnacentral:rRNA from 1 species
UACAGAGGUCUCAAGCGUUGUUCGGAUUCAUUGGGCGUAAAGCGCGUGUAGGUAGUUUGGUAAGUCGGGUGUGAAAUCCCUGGGCUCAACCGAGGAAGUGCAUUCGAAACUGCCAAGCUAGAGGACGGUAGAGGAAGGUGGAAUUCCUAGUGUAGAGGUGAAAUUCGUAGAUAUUAGGAGGAAUACCUGUGGCGAAGGCGGCCUUCUGGGCCGUUCCUGACACUGAGACGCGAAAGCGUGGGGAGCAAACAGG